rnacentral:tRNA from 1 species
AGGUCAUUAGUUCAAUUGGUAGAGCAUCGGUCUCCAAAACCGAGUGUUGCAGGUUCGAGUCCUGCAUGGCCUG